rnacentral:rRNA from 1 species
GUGCCAGCCGCCGCGGUAAUACGUAGGGCGCAAGCGUUAUCCGGAAUUAUUGGGCGUAAAGAGCUCGUAGGCGGUUUGUCACGUCUGCUGUGAAAACCCGAGGCUCAACCUCGGGCCUGCAGUGGGUACGGGCAGACUAGAGUGCGGUAGGGGAGAUUGGAAUUCCUGGUGUAGCGGUGGAAUGCGCAGAUAUCAGGAGGAACACCGAUGGCGAAGGCAGAUCUCUGGGCCGUAACUGACGCUGAGGAGCGAAAGGGUGGGGAGCAAACAGGCUUAGAUACCCUGGUAGUCCACCCCGUAAACGUUGGGAACUAGUUGUGGGGUCCAUUCCACGGAUUCCGUGACGCAGCUAACGCAUUAAGUUCCCCGCCUGGGGAGUACGGCCGCAAGGCUAAAACUCAAAGAAAUUGACGG